GGGGGGGGGGCGCUACGCGGCCGACGCGCAUGCGCGUGCGGGACCCGGAUUGCGCCCCCCGGGCGGAGCUGAGGGGAUGGCAGAGGAGGGGGCGGCGGGACGGGACGGGGUGGGAUGGGGGCAUGGAUGGGGGGUCGGGAUGGGGUAUGGGUGGGUAUGGGGUGGUGUGCUGUAGGUUGGGGUAUGGGGUGAGGGUGGGAGGGGGAUGGGAUGGGGAUGAUUCAGGUUUGGGAUGCGUAUGGGAUGGGUAUGGGAUUGAUAUGGGAUGGGUAUGGUGUAGGUAUGAUAUAGGUAUGGAAUGGGUAUGGUAUAGGUUUGGGAUGAGUACGGUAUGGGUAUAGGAGGGGUAUGGGAUGGGUACGGUAUGGGUACGGUAUGGGUACGGGAUGGGUACGGGAUGGGUAUGGGAUGGGUAUGGGAUGCAUGCGGUAUAGGUUUGGGAUGGGUAUGGUAUAGGUAUAGCAUGGGUACGGUAUAGGCAUGGUGUGGGUACGGUAUAGACAUGGGGUGGGUAUGGGAUGAGUAUGGGAUGGGAAUGGUAUAGGUUUGGGAUGAAUAUGAUAUAGGCAUGGGAAGGGUAUGGUAUAGGUUUGGGAUGGGUAUUGGUUGGGUGUGGGAUGGGAAUGGGAUGGAUAUGGGAUGGGAAUGGUAUAGGUUUGGGAUUGGUAUGGUAUAGGCAUGGUGUGGGUAUGGGAUCGAUAUGGAAUGGGUAUGGUAUAGGUAUGGGAUGGUUAUGGGAUGGAUAUAUUAUAGUUAUGGGAUGGGUAUAGGAUGCGUAUGGUAUAGGUAUAUAAUGGCUGUGAUAUAGGUAUGGUAUAGGUAAGGGCAUGGCAUGAGUACAGUAUGGGGGGGGCACGGUGUAGGUUGGGGAAUGGAAUGGGUAAUGUAUGGGAUGGGUAUGGUGUAGGUAUGGGUAUGGGAUGGGUAUGGUGUAGGUAUGGGUAUGGGAUGGGUAUGGUGUAGGGAUGGGAUGGGAUGGGUAUGGUGUAGGGAUGGGAUGGGAUGGGUAUGGUGUAGGUAUGGGAAGGGAUGGGUAUGGGAUGGGUAUGGGUAUGGGGAUGGGAUGGGUAUGGUGUAGGUAUGGGUAUGGGAUGGGUAUGGUGUAGGUAUGGGGAUGGGAUGGGUAUGGUGUAGGUAUGAGGUGGGAUGGAUAUGGUGUAGGUAUGGGAUGGGAUGGGUAUGGGAUGGGUAUGGGAAGGGAUGGGAUGGGAUGGGUAUGGUGUAGAUAUGGGUAUGGGAUGGGUAUGGUGUAAGUAUGGGAUGGGAUGGGUAUGGUGUAGAUAUGUGUAUGGGAGGUGCAUGGGAUGGGUAUGGUGUAGGUAUGGGUAUGGGGUGGGUAUGAUGUAGGUAUAGGAUGGGAUGGGUAUGGUGUAGGUAUGGGUACGGGGUGGUGUAGGAAUGGUGAGGUGGGGGCAUGGUGAGGGUGGGGGGGUCACAGCACAGGGUGGGCACUGCAAUGGCGCAGGUCCGGGAUUUGAUGCCGAACUGCUGUCGGCUCCUCAGUGCGGUGGGGGGGGGGACUUCAGCUCAUCCCAGCGCGGCGUUCCGUCCCUCCUUCACCGCCAUCCGCGCUGUUGUGCACCGCUCCGAAAAGCCCCCACCGAACCGGGGGGUGGGGGGGGGUUCAGGAUGGCCCACCCUCCACGACUCCUCCAUCACUUUCUGCAUCCGCGCCCCCCCCCGACAGCCACGGCUGCAGUGAUGGUGUCACAGCUCUGACAUCAGAGCCAAACCGUGACGUCACUCCCCAUCCCGUGACCACCCCCCACCCCCCCCAUCCCGGUGAUGUCAGCAGUCACAAUUACGACAUCGAUCUCCCGUUGAGGCGGUGGGAUGGGGGGGUGGGGGGCAACAGCAGCGCGGGAGGGGCUGCGUGGGGGCACCGCCG
ensembl:lncRNA